AUACGGAGGGUGCAAGCGUUAAUCGGAAUUACUGGGCGUAAAGCGUGCGUAGGUGGUUUGUUAAGUUAGAUGUGAAAGCCCCGGGCUCAACCUGGGAACUGCAUUUGAAACUGGCAUACUAGAGUAUAGGAGAGGAAAGUGGAAUUUCAGGUGUAGCGGUGAAAUGCGUAGAUAUCUGAAGGAACAUCAAUGGCGAAGGCAGCUUUCUGGACUAAUACUGACACUGAGGUACGAAAGCGUGGGUAGCAAACAGGAUUAGAAACCCGAGUAGUCC
rnacentral:rRNA from 1 species